rnacentral:RNase_P_RNA from 1 species
UUGCAAGUACGCUCUAUCGCUGCCCGAAAGGGGAGAGGAAAGUCCGAGCAACGCAGAGCACCGCACGAGUUAACGGCUCGAUGUCCGUAAGGGUGUAGUAGCGUAACAGAGAAUAACCGCCUAUGUCGGCUUUGGCUGGCAGGUAAGGGUGAAAAGGUGGGGUAAGAGCCCACCGCGGUGGCAGCAAUGUUCACCGGCCGUACGCCUUGCGGGUUGCAAGACCACGUAUACCGACAAUUAAGGGUUGCUCGUCCAAUGUCGGGGGGUAGGUUGCUAGAGGCUGUGGGUGACCACAGUCGUAGAUAAAUGAUAGAGGCCUCGUGAGAGGUACAGAACUCGGCUUAUAGUAUUUGCAAUGAC